AAUAGAUACCCGGUAGUCCAUGCCGUAAACGUUGGGCACUAGGUGUGGGGGGCAUUCCACGUUCUCCGCGCCGUAGCUAACGCAUUAAGUGCCCCGCCUGGGGAGUACGGUCGCAAGGCUAAAACUCAAAGGAAUUGACGGGGGCCCGCACAAGCGGCGGAGCAUGCGGAUUAAUUCGAUGCAACGCGAAGAACCUUACCAAGGCUUGACAUACACUGGACCGUUCUGGAAACAGUUCUUCUCUUUGGAGCUGGUGUACAGGUGGUGCAUGGUUGUCGUCAGCUCGUGUCGUGAGAUGUUGGGUUAAGUCCCGCAACGAGCGCAACCCUCGUUCUAUGUUGCCAGCACGUGAUGGUGGGAACUCAUAGGAGACUGCCGGGGUCAACUCGGAGGAAGGUGGGGAUGACGUCAAAUCAUCAUGCCCUUUAUGUCUUGGGCUUCACGCAUGCUACAAUGGCUGGUACAGAGAGAGGCGAACCCGUGAGGGUAAGCGAAUCCCUUAAAGCCAGUCUCAGUUCGGAUCGUAGU
rnacentral:rRNA from 1 species